AUUUGCAAUGUCUAAAUACCCGGAGAUUAAAUAAAUCUUUUGAAUAAUCCAUGGUUCAAAGAAGACAAAAAAUUUUCAAAUAUUUUGAAUUUGUUUUGGAUAAAGCAAAAGCAGCAAUGAUAGAUAUAUGCACCACUGCAUGCAUAUUUUAGAUUACUGUAAAGGCUCAGAGCUCUUCCACAAUCCUAUGAUAUGACUCUACUCUUUAGCACCAAAAUGAGACAUUUUAUAACAAGACACAAGGAAAUUUACAAAACCUUCACAAACUCUCAAAAAGAACUAAAAAUAGGCAACAAUUUCAUGUUCAUGGAUGGGAAGACAAAUUUGUUGAGAUGUCAUUUCUUGUCAACUUGAUGUAUAUGGUUGAUACAAAACCACUCAACAUGUCAGUGACUUAACAGAUGUGAUUAAACUGAUUCAAAAGUUCAUACAAAAGGCAAAAACUGAUCCUGUUACAGAAAAGAACUGAGUAUUGACAUUCGACACUUAGUAAAAAGCUAAAGAAUUGAGACAGUUUAAUAGUGAAAGAAUAGACAGAUCAAUGAAUAGAGAAUAGAGAACUCAGAAAUGGGUCUAGCAGACGUGGAGAACUGAUCCUUUAAUAAAAAAGGGAGGUGGGAACAUGGAGCAAAGAGAGAUGAUAGACUUCAGUAAAUCUCCUUGGAAAAAAGAAAGUGAGACACAGACUUCACACCCAUCGAAAGAUUUUAUUGACUCCGACAAUUCAAUGUUUUUGGAAUAUGUAGUCUACUCACACUUAGUGUGAUCGAUGUUAAUCCUACUUUGGAUUUGCUGUGUUCUUAAGUCUAGAUGCUGAAAUCUUUCAUCAGAUCUGGAAAAUCCCUUGCCAUUUAUCCUCGGAUACCCUGUUCUCUCCUUUCCUUCUAGGACUCUAGUCAGGUAGUCUCACUUCAUAGUUAAAGACUCUUAUCCUCCUCUCCAACUCCGUGUGACAACAGAGGCAGAGAUUGAAGUAUGGCCGCUGAAGCCAAGGAGUGCCACAGAGCACAGGCAAUGAAGACCAGAGGCCACGAAGAUGCCAGGAAGAAUUCUCCUUUCCAGUUUCCAGAUGGACCGUAGCUCUGUCGACACUUGACAACUGUGAGAUGAUGCUUCCUUUGUUGUAAGCCACCUGUGUUGUGGUUCUUUGUUAUCACAGCUCUAUGAAACUAAUACAAUCCCCAUGUGAAACAGUCUGUACUGACGAUAUUGUAAGUACAGGCAAUCCUUCAUGGACAUAAGGGAUUCACCUGAGAAAGAAAAAUGAAGGAAAAGGUCGUGUUGAAUUUGUCAGGCAGUCAGCAAUAGCCAGAGUGAUUAUGAUCUGUUAUUUGUACACACUCACUGAUGUUUCACAAACUGUUAUUUGAGAUACUUUUCAUCCAAGACUUAGUAACAAUUUGUUAUACCUGUGCAAACCAAUGCCUGCAUUACUUAGGGACAGCCCCACAGAACGUUAUUACAAUUACCAAGCAAGCUGAUAUUGUGCUGUUCUUUUCAAUUACUAGUUGAAAUAAAAAUUAUUUCCAGCCUGGCUUCAGCAACUAGAGGCUGAAAACUUCAGCCAGCAGAACGAGGAAAGCUCUCACAAAGACAGCAAGAGGCCGUUCUAUAAUUUCCUAAUCUUGGAUUUCUCAAAAAAAAGUUCAGGAAAAAAUGCCCUUGAGGCUGUUGAGGUACAGAUGCUCCUCAAUGUAGGAUGGUGUUGCAACCCUAUAAACCCAUCAUAAAUUGAAAGCAUCAUGUUGAAAUGUAU